AUGGGCUUGUACUCUGACUCAGAUCACGAGUUUGAUGAGGGCCUCAACCUGGUCCGCCAUUCCUGUAUCAUCACGGGUGACGCUGUUGUGCACAGCUCUCCUCCUACCUUGAUGCCGCUGGGAUCCACAACCCACCGGAAAGGAGUAGCGGCGCCCUCACAGGUUGGACCACUCCCGGAUCCGUCGCCGCCUGCACAGCCAGGACGGGCCGACCACCGAGGGCAUCUUCCUCCACCACUUGUGAUGAGUGGCCGAGCCAUGGAGCGGAGGCAGCGGGGAGUAUUGAUUAUAUUGGAAGGCCAAGGGAUUAUUUCUGCACGAGGAUGUAUUUGGGAGAGAUUUUGA
rnacentral:rRNA from 1 species